UUUUCCCCCCUCACUCUUUUUCAGUAGUGUCCCAAGAAAUAAGUACACAAUCGGGUGGGCUGCCACCCUCCUUGUGGUGCCAGCUGAGCACCGGGGCAAAGUGCACUUUCCUGAAGGGUCUGGCCCUGGCUGCACAGGAUUUGCUGAUGUUUUUGUAAAGCGUGGUGGCUGUGUUUCUCCAUAGAUAAAACCGAGCUGCGUGCUUUCUGUUUGACCUUUGUUUUGGAGUAAGAACAGCAACACAAGAGAGCUGAAUUGAAGUUUCCACGGGAGAAGGCGAGGCACGUGGUGCACGCGCGGGUGGACGUGCACGUGUACGGCCUGCCCCCUGCGGGGACCCUCCUCCUCGGGGACUUACAGCACCGGUGCCUCGAAAACAACAGCCUGCCUUACCUGAAAUGACACAGCUGAAACGGUUCCCAAACAGCGAGUUAUUCGUUAUCGGACGGGGGUGAAAGUGCAAAGCUGGGAUCGAGGCUUUGCCUUCCUCAGCGGGCACCGUUUCCAGUCAAGGCCACGCUCCUUCCUCUUGGGUUUGGUUCGUCCCUUCCCUGAGCAUGUGGGGCACAUGCCCCUUCCCUAAGGGACAUCUCCAGCUCCUCUCCCCGUGGAGAGGACAUUUCAGCCUCCCCCUCACAUCUUUGUGCCUCCCAUGGCAUCGCCACCAGGCUGCUUUCCUCUCUGGCUGCAGGCUGUGGUGGAGAUGCAGCCGCGAUACGCUUGGUCCAUAAGGAUCCCGAGCACUGCAUCCUGAUUGCUCGUCAACCGAAAUGUCAGUGGCUUCUCAGCCAGCUUACAGAAAAGAAAAUAUUUAAAAAACUUUAGGAAAUUAAUUUAACUGGACUUGGAGCAAAGUUUUUUGGCUAGAAAUUCAGGCUCCGGCCAACACGGAAGGCUUCUGCCAACUCAUUGCCUUGGUCCUCGAAGCCAGCAAUGAAAAGAGAGCAAGGAGAAGAAAAAAAAAAAUCCCCUCCAUUGCCCAUUAGAUUUAAUUGUGCUUUUUUGUAAGCCUCAUAAAUCCUGCCCAAAUCACGUCAUCAAGCCACAGGGAAACUGAAACCUUGCCCAAGGCAGGAGCCAGCAGAGCUGUUCAGACUCGAAGGGUUGCACUUGGGGACAAGCUCAGCGCGCUGCGGUGCUGCUCUGAGCAGGGAAUUGUUUGUGGGAGCCUGGGCGAGGGGCGGAAAGGCGGCGGGGAGGGGAGCGGGGGCUCCAGGAGCAGGACCGGGCCCCUGCCCUGCCUUGUUCCUCCGUGGGUGCCAGCACAGCCGGGAGAGGAAGAGCAGCACGCGGAGAGGCAAAGCAGACAUCCUCACCUCCGCCCCCGAGGAGGCCUUCAAAGGGCUUUUCCUCUGGAGGGGGGAGCCGGAAGGGAGGAGCGGGGAUCCGCGCUGGGAAGGGCCCUUCCAAGCUCCUUAUUUUUUCCUUUGGGCAUGGGACGGGAGGAGGGGGGGAGGAUUAAAACAUGAAGGCGUCUGCACUGAGCUCUCAAGGGCUUUCCUCCCCUUCUCUCUUGCGGUGCUUUGUUGUGAUGUUUCCACAUGCAGCUCCCAGCGAGGAAAAGAGGCUUUUGGAUCGGGGGAAGAGCAUCCUUGUCGGCGCUCUCCUCUGGCGCGUGGUGCUCCCCUGGGACACCAGUGGCGUCUCCCCACAGAAAACAGGGGAUCCCCCAGUCCCGGGCUGGCCAGAAGGGAGCAGGAGAGCAGGGUUUGGCCUGAAGCAGUGGCUGGCCCUACACAGGGCAUGUUUAUUGCCCACGGAGGACAGAUGUGCUGUCACCUCCUGCAGCCCUGCAAUAUACGCCCUACGGCUAUAGCUGAAAUAUGUGUAAAAAGCAUAAGAGGAUAAGGAUCCCCCUGCCAAGCUUCGUGAGGAAGCCCCUGAGCUCUGCCACGUCCCGGCGCCCUGACCUUUACGUUCAGCCAGGCUUUACUCAGCCUCAUCAUUAUUUUGGCUGCGUUUUUGCUGCAGAGGAAUGCAGGUGUUUCCUCUGUUCCCACCAGUGUGCCCAUGCUCUGAUUUCUGAGAGGCCGGGGAGGCUGCUCAUGCGUGUCGUGUCGUGCUCAAGGAGGCAUCUGAGGAAAAUGUGGAUGCAGUUCAGGCAAAUGACCAGGGGAACGAUGCAUUUGCAUGCACUUGCAUGUGAGUGUAAUUUAGGCAGGCAACGUGUUGAGUUUGCUUGAAAAUCUGGCCCAUGUUUUUCCAUUUCUGAUUUUCUUUUUUCCUUAAGAUAAAAAAAAGGCAAACACCUUGUUCUUUCAUUUGGUCUGCAAUAACCCGAGCUGGUUCCCUUGGAAAGCUUAUUUAUUCUCCUUGGCUGCUGAAGUGGAUGCUGAAUUUUGAGCAUCCUGAGAAGAGACGGUGCGCAGAUGGGAUUCUUUGUUGCUGAAGCUUUUGUUGGACAAUUAUAAGGCUCAUUUAUAUAGCUGUUUAUAUAUUAAAAUUGUUGGGUUGCCUGGGGCUACGGAUAAGCGCUCCUUGUUUGACAUAUCUCUAAAUAAAUAUAAAGGCACAUUAUUAAUGGAUACAGCUUUAAAAGCAAACACCCAGAGAUGCACUUACAAUAAGGGGAGGAAAAACCAAGGUUACAUCAUGUUGCUAGAAGCCAACUGCUUUGUUUUCUAAAAUGUUUCUCUGUAGGACACAGAUGAUUUUUUGACUCAUUCAGUGUUUGAGCAUCCAAAAAGUCUCACGGUUGUUCCAGAAUUCUUUCAACAGCAUCCCGAAUGGCAUUAACAGACAGUUACACUAUUUCACUGCCCAGCUUAUCCCUUCCCCAUGAUGGACUCAUGUUUGUCAGGGAGCUUUGGGAAGGAAUAUUCUGUAUUUCUGGAGAGCGGUGUCCCUGCUGAGGCAGGACUCGGCUUUUUGGGGGCUUUUCAAUCCACAUCAUUUUGCGAUCUCAAGAUGCGUGGCUGUCCCUGGGCUUGUGCAAAUGAAAGUGCACCUCUGGGUGAGCACCAGGAGUCACCAGGAGGCUGAAGCUAGUUAUGGCUGGCACAAGGAAGCAUCUCCUAAGUUCACAGGGAACCAUUUUUACUGGCAAUCAUGAACUUGAUUGUGUGCUUUCUGCCACCCCUGCUGCACUCCUUCUCUGGAGGAUGGUGUUUUCUUCCUCUUCCUCCUUCUCUCCUCCUCCUCCUGUGUGAGUCCGCCUCUGCUAACAUCCAGCUCGGAUGCUGAGAAAAGCCUGAGAACAGCAGCAGGGCACGAGCCCUCCAGCAGCCCUCUAACAGCAUGGUGAAAGCUCCUGUGCCUCCUCGAGUGCUGUUUGUUCAGACAUUGCCUCCGGUGUCCUGGCCAGGCUCCAGGGGGUUUUGCAACUCCACCUUCCAGCCAUGCAGGGCUCAUCCUGAAUUCCUCUGGUCUCCCUCCCGCAGGCAGCUCUCCGUCAGCAGUGGGACGGCUCUCCUGAGAUGAGGGACCGGACCUGGCUCUCCUCUGCGUGCUGCCAGCCCUUAGCUGUGACCCUCCUGUCGGACAGCCGCUCACCGCACGGGUCCCCACAUGCUCAGGGGGCUUUGCCAUGGUGCCCCCUCGGUGUACUCCUCAAGCAGGCGUGAAAAACUGCCCGGUAUCAAGUUGGCCGUGUUUAACUUUUGGGUGCUUUGGUGACUUGCAGUCCUCCACUGCACGGAGGAGCUCUGGGGAAGGAUGAAGGACACACAAGUGUUGGAAGCGCAGAGGCAGAGGAUAAAAGGGCAGGCUGGGCUGAUCAGGAUCCAGCCAAAAAAAUCUCCAAAGCAGCAAAACAGAGAUGGAGAAAGGGUUGCCAGUGAGUCAGGGGGAAGGAACGGCAGCAUUGUCUCUCGUUUGAGCAAAGUCUGUAAUGGAAGAAGACUGAGUGCCAGGGAACUAAUAUCCCUCUGCAGCGAUUGUUUGAUCCUUCCCUUCCCCUCCAAAAAAGCAAGUUGCUGCUGGCUGGCUUGCAAGUAGAAAAACCCAGUCCAAGAAAUAAUCGAGUCUCUUGUGCCAAUAAGCGCAUCUGUUGGUGUGUCAGUGUUGAUCCUCCUUCAGUACAUGCCACAUGCUCGUUUCUUUACACAAGAUGGGCUAGAAGGGCCAUUAACUAGAUUAGGAAUUCUAAGGCACAAUUAAAAAACAUGCUGCCUCUUUGCUUUAAUCUUCCCUCCUUUCGCUCCCAGGCUUGUUUUCAUGCCGGCCUGACACAGUCCUCAGUUGGCUGGCGGCGGGAGGCUAUCAUUGCACAACCCUGGCUGGUUUCUGAGCUGUGCAACACCCUGCAGCACCUCGGCAGCAGCACGCCGGCCCGCCAGGCUCUCCAGCAAAGGAGUAACCCCACCGGCUGGCAGAGUGAGAGCCGCAUUUACCACCCGGGGGGGAAGAAGGUGUGAGCAGGAGAGGCUCGGAUGGGCAGGAGCAGCCCUGCUGGGAGCCCUCCCGAUGCCCCGAGCAGCAUCUGGUGGCAUGGGGGGCCGGCAGCCUGCUCGCUGGCACGGGGAGCUGCUCCUUAAUUGCUGUGGCGUUGUGCAAAUGCGGUGCAAAUUUCACAGAGGACAUAGCGUAUUCUAAGAUGAUUGUUUUUAUUCCUCGGAGGCAUUACCUUGGACUCCUGCUGGUGUGGAGCCCUUCCUCCUCUGCUCUCAGCAGUGCACGGGGGGGCACUGCUUGUGCACCCACAGCUGCACCCUGACCCCCAGUGAGUAGCAGACUGUACCCUGCUUCCCAAGGGGAGGCAGGCCUGCAGCCAUGACCUGAACAAGUAUGAGAGUGGCGCUUGCAGGCUGAGAAGCAGAGGAGCACGUCAGGCCGCACGUUUCCUCAGGAUGUCUCAUCUCAGCAGCGGUGUCUUCUGCUGACGAUACAGGCGGGCUGCAAAGUGCCACCGCCUGUGUCUGUGUUCGGAGAAGUCCCCGUGAUGGUCCACCUUCUGGGGCAGACAGAGCUGCCAUGUGAAGGAUAUGGGCAGCGUAGGACAGUGUUACGUGCUGCUUCCUGGAGGCGGAAGAUACUGCUUCCCGACGGCAUCGCUUCCCAAACUCCGUAUCUGCAGAUGGCCCCGUGCCAGUGCUUCGGAGCACUGAUUAGAUCUGAAUGUGAGACUUCCCACAAUUCAGGGGAAACUGCGAGGUGGAGCAGGGCCUGGGGUUCCUGCUCAGGCUCGUUCCUGACAUGCGCAGGUAUCCCUAGCAAGCUGCUGCUGCUGGCUGAGGGACCCCUAUCCCCUCGCCUGCACUGGGCCCACAAAAUCGUAAUUCCCUCAGAUGCAGUAGGAUUUCUUUCCGUGUACCUGUGAGUGGGAGGAGGAUAUGGCUUGUCACUUUUUUUUUUCCCACUCUCACGCCAAUUUUGGUGCAAUAUAACGGGCCUGCCCUGUCAAACUCAGAGGGAGUUUUGCCAUUAAUUGCAACUCAAGCAGGGAUAUUGCUGAACGUGAUAAAAUCCAACAGAAAUCUUUAAAACUCCCCAGAUCACCGCCUUUGCUGCAGUUAAUUUUCUGUCCAUGACUUUUCGACAAAAUCCUAUACAGCUAAAACAUGCAAUUCAAGAAGCCUUACUGCCUUGACCUAAGCGCUAAGGCAUUGCACAAGCUGCCUGCCAGAUACCACAGCCCCCGCCGUUACCGACAGGUAAUUAGGUCACCACUUGUGAACUUUUGACACGCACAGACUUACGGCCUGAUAACGUGGAUGCCCUCGAGCAAGUCAGGGCAAUCGGCUUAUCGUCAUGAAUCUAAGGAGCAUUGAACUCUAAACAGUCAUUUAGAGUAAGAUGGCUUCAGUCCCCGGUGCUUUAAUCCUACCCGAAGGCACACGACUUGUCUGGGGGAUGUCUUGCUGGAGAUGCCUGAGGGAACCGAGGGAGCAGCUGUGCUGUUGCAGGAUCAUGCAUGGGCGCUUGCUUGGGUCUGCAUGGACACGUCUGCAGAGCCUGUUUUGCACGGGCUUUAGCACAUCAGGAGACAUAUCUCUGUGCCACAACGAGCCCUCAGAGGCAAGGCAGGACCGUGACAGAAGAUGGUGGCUAAGGACCAAGCCUGGCGGAGCUGUGGUUCCAGGUGUGCGCGAGAGCUUCUGUGGGAGGUGUCCUAAAAAUGUCUGCUGUCAUCUUUCGUAAGUGGAAAAUGCCGGAGAUGAUCAGCUCACCUCCCUCUCACCUUGCUUUAUUUGUGUAUUCUGCAUAUUUUUUUCCUCGUCCUGCAUCUCGGGGCACUUUCCCAUCGGCUCAUGCUGUUAUGUCACUCUCCAGUGGGUGAACUCAGUCCGACCAGGAAACACUGAAGGAAAAUGAGAUGCAGAUGUGCUAACUGCAUUCAUAUUCCCCUUCACUGCAGUUGCUGCUGGAGAGCUUGGACUGCUGCUUUGACUUUGUUCCUCCGCGGAGCGCGCUCGCAUUAAAAUGUCAAUCUUAUCUGCGUUUCAGUUCAGCGUGCCUGCCCCUGCGGAACAGAUUGUUCAAUGCACUUACAUCCUCCCCAGUCGCCCUCCAAGGGGAUGACUCAGUCUGUAACACAGCACAUCUGCUUGGGACUACAGAGGACACUGGAACCUAGCAGGGGCUUGGAUCUGCCGCUCAGUUAUGUCAUGUCUGAGCAUCGCCUGUUUGUGCGUUUUCAGAAAACCCAGAUAAAAGAAUAUGAAAGGAGAAGAGUAAAAAAAAAAAAAAAAGGUUUUCUCCAUAAAUUAAUAGUGACCUCAAAGCUCCCAUGCUGGAAAAAUUGCUAUGUGAUGCAAUGCCAGUAAAAUAGAAGCAACUGCCACUUCACAGAAAAAGCAGUUAUAUUUCUGAUUAAUUGCUGUGUUUUUUGAGGUUUCAGUAAAAAUGGCUGCUGAUUAUUUCUGAAACUUAUGAUGACUGUCUUAGUGCAUAACCCCUUCUUAACAUCAAUUUGGCAAACAGAAAAGGAAAUAUAUCAUACGAUAUUCCGCUUGUAGGGCCAAGUUCUGUCAUCUAUCUGCUCGCAAAGCCUCUGUUGACUGCCUUGGGAUUUCUCCUUGCAGAAUGAUGGCAGGACAUGAUCCAGACCCAAUAUAAAUGUAACAUAUGAACCAGUAUAUCUUCAGAUGGAGAAAACGUGUGUGGAAUUUCCCUGUGCUAUCUUGUGCAUGCUUUAUAGGGCAACUACAUCCACAGUUAUUGAAAAGAAGCACAGACGUCUGUGGUUAGACAUCAAUGACUUGUGGGAGGGAAAAGAGGGAAACUGGAAGACUUAGAAUUUGUGCUUGAUUGGUUUACUGAGAAAUACAAGGCGAGAGAAAUGAAAACAGUUCAGAAUAGCACUGUAAAGAGGGGAAAUUGGCAUUGCUGGCAACACUGAUGAAAUGUAAUGUCCUUGCCAGGAGAGUAUAAAUUAUGGGUUUCCUGAUAGAAAAUGUUGAUGAGGCCAGUAGGGGGGAGAGUCUGAGGAAAAUGUAUGCCUGUGGAAACUGAUUUUUAUUUUGGUGAUGACUGAAAAUAGCCAUGAAGCCUGGAACUUGUAAACCUGGGAAUCCUGAAAUUAAUAACUUUUAAGAGUUAACUGUUGGAGAGUGCCAUCCCCACGAGGACCGUUAUUUGCUUUUCAGGUUUUGCAUAUCCUUGCCUAUUUUAAGUGCUCAGACUCACUGCUGCCCAUAUAGCAUCCUGUGAAGCAGUGGUUAUCCAAGAUAGCAGCCUUCAUUUAAACAGCAAUCGAGGUGGCUGCAGGAAGUGCUGGUGGUGACGGGGUGUUUGCUUAGUGGCUCUGCUUUGGGUAGGUUUUAUGUUGCACACAUCUCUGCACCACCUGAUUUACGCCUGCCUUAGGUGUGCUGUGUGCCACCUCCAUCUGUCCUGUGCUGUUUUUUUCUAGUGCUCUCUUUGCAGGAAGAAAUGUAUACAAUAUAGUACUGUGCUUCUGUAGAGUUUCUUGCUUAAAUCUAUAUCAUGGGACACAUUGAAGCUCUGGAGGUCUCCUGUCCAAACCCCUGCUCAAAGCAAGUCUAGCUUUACAGUGAGACCACACUUUCCAGGGCCUUGCUCAGGCACACUCUGAGUAUCUCCAAAGAUGGAGAUUUCAAAGUUUCCCUGGGCUGUAGGCUUGCUUCAUCAAGCAGGAUGAUCCUUCUUUAUAACAUUCAGUGCUUGGUGCUGAUCCAGAUUUGAGGCCUUUACAACAGAGGAUGCUAUUUAUCGCCUUUGGGGCAGGCUUUGGCUGCUUGAGUAGAAGCAGAUGAAGGAAGGUUUUCUUGGCCUGACAGCAAACCUCAGUGUCAGCCCCAAGAAACUUGAUCUAAAGAGUUUUCCACAAAGGCGAGCCUCGGGCUACCUGGCAGAAAGAAAGAGGCUCCUGCGGGGAAUGGUUCAGAGCACCUCUGUGAAGCUCCUCCUUUGAAAUGCCCUCCAGAAGCACUUGUCUAUCCUCAGCGAUAACAGAAGAGGCACAGGAAGAUCAGCUUCCCCUCUGCUUCCUCUGUGCACGAACCAGCGAGCCACCCACCACUAAGCCUGAAAUUUGCUCCCUUUUUCUCUUCAUCUGGACGGAAAGCUAUGGAGAUCUGGCAGGGCAAGGGGGAGAAAGGUGCUGUUUAAGAGCAACAUUUCAACAGCUUGGCUUUGUAUACAAUAACAAUGCUGCUGAGUCACCAGCCCUUCAGCUCCUCAUCCUGUGUACGGGUUGUGACCGUCCUUCAGCGGACUCUGGAAUUUGUUGAGAAGGAGCAGUAUUUGCAAACAGCCACUGCUUUUCAUUGCCUGGGAGCUGAAAAGUCUCUGUUUUACAAGGUACCCCCCCAGCAAAAUUGCAAACCAAACCUGCUGCAGUUGCACUUGGUGGCUCUUCUCUUCAAACGCAGUCCUGCUGAUGGCGAGAUCUGUGCUUAGUGUUCCUGGCAGACAGGGCAGGGCCCCCUGUCUACUCGUUUCGGAGGAAAAAAUAAUUUGUGAUGGCAAGAUGGUCGUUUGCUCUAUGGCGGGAUUUGAUGCUGUAGUGAAAUACCACAAGGUGCUGUCCUGGUGAGUCCCUUUCCGACUGCUAGGGCAGCAGUGUCCCCUCGGCACGGUGCUCCCCUUCCACGGCACUUCUGGCCUGGCUUCCCGAGAGAAGGAGGCCUGUGGGGUCUUGUUCUGCAUGAGUGUUGGAGAAAGUCCCUGACAAAGAUCUUUCAGCUGUUGGCAGCUCUCAAUCAAAUUUGUUAGCAGGGUGGAGAUCUCGGCAACUUUAUGUUCUUACAAGUUUAGUGAAAAUAAACAGCCAGGUAAAGAGGAGACAAGGCCUCGUUGAUAAUUCCUGCUGUGGGAAAGGCAGGAGCUGCUAUCUCGCUACGCAUCUGGAUGGGAGACACAAAGCUCCAGGGUUUUCCCUGGCUGUGGAGCUAUUUGUUUAUUUCCCCAGUCCAAGUCAAGGCAAAGCACUGUGCAGUGAGACGAGGAGCUCAGGGGGCUGGUUUCACAUCUGCCUUAAAGAUGGCUGUGCUGUAAAUGCUGUGCUCGGUUCGCAGGCUGCCUUCUCGCUAGGCCCCUUUGGAUUUCUUCACUGUCCUCUGCGGAAAGGGCCUGUUCUUGAAGUGUGUGCAUAUCUCCCUUCUGGCUUCUGGCAAACAAGUUUUCUUCUUCUUUUUUUUUUUUUUUUUUUUUUUAAACAGAGCACAAAUGAUUACCCAGAGUCAACUGUCUCUGGCCUCCUGUCUGCAGAAUCUCUUUUAUGAAGUAAAUGUUUAUGCUUUCAGACUCCCUCUAGGCCUGUAUAAUCAUUCAGCACAUGGCUGCAGGAUAAAUCUGUUCUUGCAGUUAGCAAAGGAGUAAAUGCAUUCUCCAAAAUCCUCAACGAAACCACGAGAAUUGGAGGGACACCAAACCAAAACAUUCUUUUCAUUUAGGCUGUUAGAGCUGCUGGGAAACUGGAUACUUUGCAGAGGAAUUGGCUUUUUUUUUUUUUUUUUUUUUUUUUUUUCCCCUUCACUGCUUUUUUUUUUUUUUUUCCUUGAAGUCUGUAGCAAUGGAAUGAGUGAAUUAUUUCCUGGGGCAGCUGCUGUGUAACAUCCAAUACUUUAUUCUUUGAGCUUGCAAAAAUAAAUGCGUCAAGAGGAAGAAAGUGGCAAGCUGCUUGGGGUUCCAGAGGAGCAGGCAGCUCUGGAGAUUUCACCUUUGUUUUUGUGGCAUGUGCUAGGUAUGUCCCUCAUCUCUUUCAGCUUCUGCAGGCGCCACCUGCCCCUUGUUCUUCUUCAAGAAAUAGAUGAAGUAAAUCCGAGACACGAGGCCUCCAGGGAGUGCCUGGGGAAGGAGCAAAAUAGCGGGCAGUAGGAAGAGAGAGACCCUCGUACCUCUUCAAGGGAUGGAGAUGGAAGAUUGAAAAAAGCCUCACGUGUCUGAGCAGCUGGUGCAGGCUGCCAGCCAUUGUGCCUUACUGGUGACACAUGCCUCCAUCAGCAGACGUCCCCGCAUGAGUUAAAGGAACAAAAAAAAAAAGUGUGCUACAAGUGCCUGAGCCCAGUCCCUCCCGGUGCUGGCUGUGGGGCCAGCUGGCAGGCCUUCCCCCCCAAACUGUGCUUACGCUGCAGAGGCACCCGGCUAUUUUCUGAAGGGUUAAAUUUGCUGUGGGUCUCCCCUGGAGAGCUUCCUCUGCAGAUGGAGGAAGGCUUUGAUCUCUGCUUCCCAGGACCCCCUUCCUGCCCUGCUUUCCUUCAUCGUUAGUUUUACUGCCCUGCUUCACUGCUCCGGGGGGCUGCCUGGGACCAGCAGGGUCCCACGCCGCGGUGCAGCCUGCCCUGUGCCUCCGGGAGCGGCAUGCAGCCUCCUCCACCUCCUCUGCUCCCUCCUCGCAGGCUGAGGCAAGGCUGUGCAGCUCCUGGAAACCCCCAUGGCCGUGCUGAGUCACGCUGUGCAAGGACAUAGCUGGUCCUCUGUCUAUCUAGCUGGUCUGGAUCAAUGCUAUCAUAGCAGCAAGAAGCCGUGUGCUGCAGCUGUUGCACUUCAAAGGAGUACUUACGGACCACGUUUCUCUGCUCCUUGAAAUAUCAGAGGGGUCUUCACUAUUUCAUACAUUUAAUGCAAAUAAAUAAAUAAAUAAAUGAUUCUCUCCUUCUUCGUCUCAGAGGUAGGUGUGGCACAACACAAGCUUGGGGCUAUCUUUCGGGGUUUGAGGAGGAAAGCAUAUAUCAGUGGGUGUCUGUCAUCUGUCCUGUGCCUUUAUAAAGUCCCCAAUAUACCCUGAUUGGGACCUUUUUGGGGUAUAAAGAUGAGUUGUACCAACGCAUUGCCAUGUAAACCCAAUCCAGAGGCCCCAGCAGUGUGUGGGGCAGCAGGGCAUGAACUGCACGGUGAUUUCCAUAGUGUGUGGUGUAAGACACCCCCUUCCCCCCUUUAUUUUUCAGCUUCUCUCUUCCCACCUGUGAAAUAAAACAUCUUUUUGUCUUUGGAAAAGGCUUUAUAUACACUGAGGAGUGGUGCUUUCUUCACUUGUGUUUCUGUACCUGAAUAAGUUCUGGGUUUGCAGGUGUCAAGUGGUAUUUUGUAUUGUCUGUGGAGGCUGGGAAGAGAGAGAAGGAUAUAAUUUGGGGAACAGGUGACCUGUGUCUGGCCUUCUAAGAUCCUUUCUCAGAGCACAUUAACAAAAUGCACAGACAGAAACUUCCUGGCCAGUAUAUUUGCUUCCUUAUAGCAAUAUAUUAAGUGAAGUGCUUUGGAGAAGGAAAAUACAGAAAUGAAAGAAAGAAAAAAAAAAGAUGAAAUCAAUAAAUUAGUAUCAUAUUAAUAAGUAAUCACUUCAUCCGCUGAAUGAAGGUUUAGACAAACAUUCGACAGGAAAGGAGGGUGCCUGGGAAGGAAAGCAGUGCUGGAAUUAAGUGUAACCAGAUGAGAAGUGCCAUUAUCUUUCCGAACAACGUGCACACAUCUCCAGCGAUAGUCCAAAAUGUUGUCACUUACCGUAACACUAGCAUAGUUGUUGGGGACACUGCUUUGGCAAGCUGUAGGCUUCUUUAUUUAUGAAAGGGCAAUUUAUUAUGUUAUGGGAAGGGUAUGCAAUGAGACGUGCACAUUUCUUAAAUUAAGAAAGUCCUUUUUUUAGUCCUGAAGUGGGUGGAACUCAAAAAGACAGACAUGGAAAAUCUCUGCUUAUGUGCAACAUCCUGACAAGCCAUGCAGAGGACACUAAAUGUCGAGGUGCCUCACCCCAGACCUGGCACUGCUUUGCUGGGUGACCUUGGGUAAGUCACUUGCUGUCACUGUCCUUUUGUCUCCUCCAUAAGUGGGAUAAACUAUGCUGGAGCAGAUGUUAGUGUGCUAAACGCAGGACCCAGAAGUCACUGUUACAAGGAAAAUACCAUGAUAUUACAAGGAGGUGACCUUCUCCAGCAGUUCAGUGAUGGUCCUUGAAGUGACAAGGAGGAGAAAUAAUAAAAAGGGCAAGGUUGGGAGUGGAAGACCAAAGCCCUACCGAGAUCACUGUCAUCAUAUUGGCACGGGCAGCUGUCCCAUGGGGCUGGCUUGGGGGUUAAGUCCGCUGGGUCAGCAUCCUGGGCUGGUGGGCUUCCUAUCUGUGGCCUGAGCCUCUCCGUGCUAUCCAGCUGUCCUCCACAGACACUGCUGCUGCUCCUGAGCACAGCACUGCCCCAGAUGUACCGGCUGGUGAGAGUCUCGUCCUAAAUCAAUCUUCAAAACAAAGCUAGUAUGCCAGAGACCCCAGCGCAUUAGCUGAAAGUAAUAGUUUUCAAAUGCUUCCAUAAAAUGUCACAGCUGGAGCUUGAAAA